rnacentral:rRNA from 1 species
GAUCCUGGCUCAGGAUGAACGCUAGCUACAGGCUUAACACAUGCAAGUCGAGGGGCAGCAUGAACUUAGCUUGCUAAGUUUGAUGGCGACCGGCGCACGGGUGAGUAACAUGUAUCCAACCUUCCGUUUACUCAGGGAUAGCCUUUCGAAAGAAAGAUUAAUACCUGAUAGUAUGGUGAGAUUGCAUGAUAACACCAUUAAAGAUUUAUUGGUAAACGAUGGGGAUGCGUUCCAUUAGGUAGUAGGCGGGGUAACGGCCCACCUAGCCUGCGAUGGAUAGGGGUUCUGAGAGGAAGGUCCCCCACAUUGGAACUGAGACACGGUCCAAACUCCUACGGGAGGCAGCAGUGAGGAAUAUUGGUCAAUGGACGAGAGUCUGAACCAGCCAAGUAGCGUGAAGGAUGAAGGUCCUACGGAUUGUAAACUUCUUUUAUAAGGGAAUAAACCCUCCCACGUGUGGGAGCUUGUAUGUACCUUAUGAAUAAGCAUCGGCUAACUCCGUG